rfam:Equus caballus chromosome 1, whole genome shotgun sequence.
GCCCUGGUGGUCUAAUGUUUAAGAUUUGGCACUCUCACUGCUGUGGCCUGGGUUUGUUUCCCAGUCAGGGAA